GAUGAACGCUGGCGGCGUGCCUAAUACAUGCAAGUCGAGCGAACGGACGAGAAGCUUGCUUCUCUGAUGUUAGCGGCGGACGGGUGAGUAACACGUGGAUAACCUACCUAUAAGACUGGGAUAACUUCGGGAAACCGGAGCUAAUACCGGAUAAUAUUUUGAACCGCAUGGUUCAAAAGUGAAAGACGGUCUUGCUGUCACUUAUAGAUGGAUCCGCGCUGCAUUAGCUAGUUGGUAAGGUAACGGCUUACCAAGGCAACGAUGCAUAGCCGACCUGAGAGGGUGAACGGCCACACUGGAACUGAGACACGGUCCAGACUCCUACGGGGGGCCGCAGUAGGGAAUCUUCCGCAAUGGGCGAAAGCCUGACGGAGCAACGCCGCGUGAGUGAUGAAGGUCUUCGGAUCGUAAAACUCUGUUAUUAGGGAAGAACAUAUGUGUAAGUAACUGUGCACAUCUUGACGGUACCUAAUCAGAAAGCCACGGCUAACUACGUG
rnacentral:rRNA from 1 species